rnacentral:misc_RNA from 1 species
CUGCUGCUCCUCAUGCAGGCGGUGGUGCAGUCUCUCCAAGUGGCUGGACUGUCCGGCCACGGGACGGCGAAGCGGACGCUCAGCAAGGCGGGAGGGGGGGGUAGACGGGUGGCUCGGGGUAGACGAUCGUGUCGCGAACGAGUCGCGCACGCGCCGGGGCCGCGCGCUGGCCGAGCUCGAGGCCGCGCGCCAAAGGUACGCCGGGCCAAGCUCGAGGCCGCACCGAGGCCAUCACGACGCGAGCAGGGCACGCCGGGACGGGCGGGCGAACACGGGCGACGGCGACGUCGCGGACAGGGGAGCGCGUCGAGCCGCCAUGGCCGGGACGGCCGGAGCCGGCAGGCGCGGCCGGGCGAGGCCGCGGCGAGCGAGGGGCGAGGCCGGGCGCGGCCGGCGCGACCGCGGCGAGGCUGGGUGCGGCCGGGCAGCCUCACCGGGAGGCGGCCGGGCAGGCUCGCCGGGAGGCGGCCGAGCCAGGCACGGGGCGGGCGGCCUCGCCGGGGGGGGGGGGCCGAGCCGGGCACGGGGGCGGGCGGGUCGCCAGGGGGCGACCGAGCCGGGCACGGGGGCGGGGAAGGGGCGGGGCGGCGCGGGGCAGCCAAGCCGAGGCCGGGCGCGGCGGGGCCGGGGAUGGGGACGGCCGAGCCGGGGCACGGCGAGGCGGGGCCGGCCGAGGACGACGCGGGGCGGCCGGGCGAGGCUGGACGGGGGACGCCGAGGGCGGCCGAGCCGGGCGGCUCGCCGAGCGUCCUCGACCUUUACCGCAACCUCCUAGAUGAGCGCUGGGACGGGUACGACAUGGCCGCAUGGGCACCGCAGUCGGGGUGUGGGCGAGGCCACAUUGCGACGACAAUUGUGUGGGGAAAAUGGUGGGCUGGUAAUAACAACAAAGGAGGCUCCGUCAUCCUUAGGAUCCAUAAUUGUCGCACCAUCUUCACUGCACAUUAG